GCACAAGGAAGUCUAGUCAGCCCCACUUUGGUCUGGUGGUAGUGAGGGGAGCUGAGCAAUGUCGUGUUGACAGAGGCAUGGGAUGGAUCCGGUAGGGCAAUGCUACUCUUUGGGCUGUGCCUAAAAGCCAGCACAUGGAAAUGCUCAUAAAGAUGUCGGUAGACAUUAAAUGCUGGGAGAUGGCCUGAUUCAAAACGGAUUGGAGAGGCAACGAUCUAGAGGUGGAACCAAAGGCCUGGCCUGGAUGAGAAAGAUGCAAGAGAUGAGAGUGACACAAAGCCACGGCUCAGCCAGACCACUCUCUGCGUUCACAUCUGCACAGCAUCUGGAGUCCAGCUGUGGUGGAAGUGGAAGGGGUUGUCCUUAAGUCUAACAGACUAAGGUUUGGAACUGGUCUCCCAACUCAGUGGCCUUGAAGACAUGCCUGUCCUGAGGCUUCCUGCCCACAUGUAUAAAUGGUGAAAAGCCACAGUCCUGAGAACUCCCCCACUGCAACAUUCAGUGAGGGGCCUCCAGUAGAGUGGUUGGAAAGGGGCUCCCCUGGUCAGCACCAGCAAGUGCAGGUCAUUAUCGGGGCUAUGUGAUACUUUUGUCUAAUACCACCCCUUCCUUAGUCCCUCCCCUUCCUGUCUCCCUCCUGUACCCGGCACUCCAAACCACCUCUUCUUAAGUCGGCCUGCCCAGGAGUGAACAAGGUAAUGGUAACUUAGGUUAGAGAGAAACCUGACAUUGACUGUGUGGGCUGGUGGGGCAGCCCCAAACUAUGACUAGGCUAUCAGGCACUUGGGUUUCUGGUCUGCCAUCUGGAACUUGACUUUCUUUAGAUGACUCCACAGACCAAAAUGGUUGCUGAGACGCCAGCCAGCAAAUCUAUAUUGUUCAUCUUGACAAUGGUGAGGUUCUGUAGUCUCUCCAUUAGGAGAGAGGUUCUGUAGUCUCUCCAUUAGGAGAGAAGGAAGAAGCAAAGGAGGACAAGAAAAGGGAAAAAUGUGUAACAUCACUCCUGUCCUCACUGCUAUGGAGCUUUGCUAAAGCCGCUACUUGGUAAAUUAAAUUUCUCCAUGAACUGAAGCAGGUCUCUCCUUCUCUCCUGGCUGCUAGACGUAGACUUGUCUCUGGGCAGGUCACCAGAAAUACAGCAGGGCUUUUCGGUAAGCAGGACAAAGAAAAGGCGUAUCUGUUCCUAGCCAGCAGUAUCGGCCAUGGCCUGGGACACAGGGUAGCCAUCAGUGCCCUUCCGUGGGAUCUGAUGUAGGACACUGUGAAAGAGGUAAUCCAUGUUCCCUGUGGGCCACAGGUGGAGGGACACAGCCCCACCACACAGAAGACAGCAGCACCAGCUGAGGGAGGCAAAGGGUGAGCCCAGGAGGGAAGCUGCCCAGGGCUCUGGCUAGGGAGAACCCUAGUCACCUCUGACCCAAGCACAUUUACAUAGCGGCUCGUUUGUGCUGACUCAGCAUCCGUGAUGACAACUGCUUGUUGUAAUGAAUAGGCUAAGGUUAUAACUGAUGAUCGUGACACUCAGGAGACAUUAGGGGCCCUUUCCUGCUCUCUGCGGCCGCUUCCUCCAUGCUGCCUCCUCGGAGGGUCUCAAAAGCACGAUCUUUGCCUGAAGUCUUCCCGCCCCCCUCCAUCAAUGCCUCUUUUAUUCUCUCCCUCCAAGAAACCCUGUUCAGUCCUGAAGCCCUGACAUCCCAGUUCCCUCUUCUAUACAAAGUCCCUCAACUCUUAGGCAGCCCUCUGAUCCUUGGUGACUUAAUGAGCUCUCUCCUUUACUGUAAUCCUCUCUAGCCCGCCCCUGCCACACCAGACCUGAGGACCCAGAGGGAAAAUCCCGUCCCACCCACACUGACUCCCACAGGUGACCUUUCGUUUGUAGCUGGAUGACUGAAUGAAAGCGGUGGAGUGAGCUUUGGUUUCUAUGCAAACUACAUCCAAACAGGACUCUCUGAGCAGGGCUGCUGGUGUGAACCCAGGGCUGCCUCCACCAUCUCUGGGUGGCAGCUCUCCCCUCCAGGGAUCAUUCACGAUGCCUGGCACACAUUUUGGGCUGUUGGCUCAGGGAGGGUAGUCACCUGUGCGUCCUCACCUCUGACACAUUCUUUUCCUUCUUUCUGUGGCAGCUCUUUGGUGCAGGGUGCGACAUACUGAACUGACAGCUUGUUUGUUUUCCAGGUGGGGCAAGAAUUCUGCGCUGCUUUGCGGUGAAUGUUGUUCAGAAGUCCAUGCAAUCAUUACCAUAAGGGAGGGAAGUCAGGGCCUUGCUAAAAGUCAACUAGGCUAGUGUCAGAGCAGCCAAAGCCCUGUGGAAGGCAGAAAGAGAUGGAGGGAGCUGGCCAGAAGGCUCAGUGGUAAAGGCCCUUGCUGCUAAAUGUGAUGAGUUCCAUCCUCAGGACCCACAGGGUGAAGGGGAGAACUGACUCCUGAAAGUUGUCCUCUGACCUCUACAUGAACCAUAGCAAGCACCACCACCACCACCACCA